UACGUAGGGUGCAAGCGUUAAUCGGAAUUACUGGGCGUAAAGCGUGCGCAGGCGGUUUUGUAAGUCAGAUGUGAAAUCCCCGGGCUUAACCUGGGAACUGCGUUUGAAACUACAAGGCUAGAGUGUGGCAGAGGGGGGUGGAAUUCCACGGUGUAGCAGUGAAAUGCGUAGAGAUGUGGAGGAACACCGAUGGCGAAGGCAGCCCCCUGGGUUAACACUGACGCUCAGGCACGAAAGCGUGGGGAGCAAACAGGA
rnacentral:rRNA from 1 species